AGGAGCGCGCCGCGCGCCUCCAGCUUCGGCCUCUUGGGCGCAGGCGACGAGUCCCCGGGUGGCUCCUGCUUGACGGCCGCGCGGCCCUGCUCCGCCUCGCCUCCGUAGCCGCUGUCGGUGUCCGUGUCGUGUUCCGGCUCCGUGCCGGGCUGAGUCCGCUGGAUGACCGGCACGCAGCGGGCGACGCGCUCGGGACCCGAGGCGGCCGCAGCCCCCGCGCUGCAGGGCGCGCGCCCAGAGCCCCUGCCGGAGGGCACCUGUGGCGUCAGGAGCUGGGUGGCCACGGCAUGCAGGUGGCUGACGAGCUGUGCGCAGCGCGGCUCCCUGGGUGUCCAGCUCUCAAAGCGCGCGAGGUAUUGCAAGACUUCUUUGGCGCAGGUUUGAAACCCCGAGUGGAACGCAUCCAAGUCGGCCUGGACCGGCGAUUUCAGAGAGCGCUCCCCUAGGGUGCACGGGGGAGGGAGGCGAGAAGAAAAACCGCGGCGUUAAGACAUCUGCUCAUCACGUGGGCCCUGCGCUGCCUACAGUGAGCUCGGCUUUUCCUGGGCAUUCCAGCGAUAUAAUCCGCAGACUGCCGAGAGAGGAGGGGGUGGCGCGGUGAGGCGCUCUCUUCCUGGCUGAAAAACCCAACUGAAGAGGUGCAGCCGCCACUUUAAAUAAAAACGGGGCUCCUCCAGCUCUGCGGGAAGCCUUUGGGAUGCUCUGGGUACUUGCCACCAAAGGGAAAGAGGCGACGUUCACCAGGAGAGGACGCAGCGGGGGAGUCCUAGCGUUGCGCCCCCAGCGUUACCCCCUUUUGUAUCAGGGCAGGCUGGCUUCCUCAGACCCACUUACCAUUCUGUAAAGCAAUUAUCUUCUGAUGCUGCUGCUCAGUUAAGGCUGUUAGCGCUUUCAAGUGCUUUAAAGUUAAUUCCAAGACUACUGCUUUCUCCAAAUGCCCCAGUGUCUGCAGUGGUGCGACAAAGGGGGACAGGGGUUACUUUAAAACACGCAUUUUUAUUUCCACGCAGCCCAGCAACUUAAGACAGGCACACACACACACACACACACACACACACACCACUGGGAAGGAAGCGCUGCUCAGCUCCCCACAGUCAGGUCGUCAAUGAUCUCUGCCAUUAGCCCGGAGCCCCUGUUCUGAGUCUCUGGGAAACUCUUAGUUACAGCACAAGUUAGAAGGCAGGCCUCUUAAUAUUUACAUUUAUUAUCCUAUCUCUGGGAAUUUUAUCAGGUAAAUACACCCCGGAGUCCAUCAGGAGAAUGAAAAUGUGCAUCUUACUGUCAAUUUCAGAUGUUCGGGCAGUAAAUCUUUCAGCUG
rnacentral:lncRNA from 1 species